CCUGUGUCUUUGUCUACUGGUUCUUGCAUGAGAGAGGGACACCAAUCCUCCCUUUCAUCAACAACCCACAGCUGCAGGUGCAUUUCCACAGGGGGACGAUGAGCACUCAGACAUCGCCUUCCAUUUCUGAGUGUACUUUGGCCAUUGGGUGAUCAUGAACAGCCAUGAGUGUGGGCCUGGAAGUGUGAGGAGAGAUCCAACAAUAUGCCCGCUGAGGAUGGCAGAGUAUUUGAGCUCCACAUCAUCGUGCUGGACAAUGAAUACCAGGCAAUGGUAAACGGCCAUCACUGUUACACAGCUUUGCCCAUCGACUGCUGCCAGGGUCUGUGAAGAUGGUCCAAGUGUGGAGAGAUGUCUCCCUGAACUCAAGGUGUGUCUGCAAUUGAGG
rnacentral:lncRNA from 1 species